rnacentral:rRNA from 1 species
UACAGAGACUGCAAGCGUUAUUCGGAUUCACUGGGCGUAAAGGGUGCGCAGGCGGUUGGGUGUGUCAGAUGUGAAAUCCCGAGGCUUAACCUCGGAACUGCGUCUGAAACUACUCGACUAGAGUACCGGAGAGGGAAACGGAAUUCACGGUGUAGCAGUGAAAUGCGUAGAUAUCGUGAGGAACACCAGAGGCGAAGGCGGUUUCCUGGACAGUUACUGACGCUCAGGCACGAAAGCAUGGGGAGCAAAAGGG